AAAGGAAUAGACGGGGGCCCGCACAAGCGGAGGAACAUGUGGUUUAAUUCGAUGAUACGCGAGGAACCUUACCCGGGCUCGAACGGUUUAUGAAGUAUGUAGAGAUAUAUACGUCCUUCGGGACAUAGAUCGAGGUGCUGCAUGGUUGUCGUCAGCUCGUGCCGUGAGGUGUCGGCUUAAGUGCCAUAACGAGCGCAACCCUUGUCAAUAGUUACCAUCAGGCAAAGCUGGGGACUCUAUUGAGACUGCCACCGUAAGGUGUGAGGAAGGGGGGGAUGACGUCAAAUCAGCACGGCCCUUACGUCCGGGGCGACACACGUGUUACAAUGGUGGGUACAGAGGGCAGCUAACUGGCGACAGUAUGCAAAUCUCAAAAACCCAUCUCAGUUCGGAUUGGAGUCUGCAACUCGACUCCAUGAAGUUGGAUUCGCUAGUAAUCGCGCAUCAGCCAUGGCGCGGUGAAUACGUUCCCGGGCCUUGUACACACCGCCCGU
rnacentral:rRNA from 1 species